CCCAGACUCCUACGGGAGGCAGCAGUGGGGAAUAUUGGGCAAUGGGCGCAAGCCUGACCCAGCAACGCCGCGUGAAGGAAGAAGGCUUUCGGGUUGUAAACUUCUUUUGUCAGGGACGAAGCAAGUGACGGUACCUGACGAAUAAGCCACGGCUAACUACGUGCCAGCAGCCGCGGUAAUACGUAGGUGGCAAGCGUUAUCCGGAUUUAUUGGGUGUAAAGGGCGUGUAGGCGGGAAUGCAAGUCAGAUGUGAAAACUAUGGGCUCAACCUCCAAAUUGCAUUUGAAACUGUUUUUCUUGAGUACUGGAGAGGCAGACGGAAUUCCUUGUGUAGCGGUGAAAUGCGUAGAUAUAAGGAGGAACACCAGUGGCGAAGGCGGUCUGCUGGACAGCAACUGACGGUGAGGCGCGAAAGCGUGGGGAGCAAACAGGAUUAGAUACCCUUGUAG
rnacentral:rRNA from 1 species